UACGAAGGGGGCUAGCGUUGCUCGGAAUCACUGGGCGUAAAGGGUGCGUAGGCGGGUCUUUAAGUCGGGGGUGAAAUCCUGGAGCUCAACUCCAGAACUGCCUUUGAUACUGAAGAUCUUGAGUUCGGGAGAGGUGAGUGGAACUGCGAGUGUAGAGGUGAAAUUCGUAGAUAUUCGCAAGAACACCAGUGGCGAAGGCGGCUCACUGGCCCGGUACUGACGCUGAGGCACGAAAGCGUGGGGAGCAAACAGG
rnacentral:rRNA from 1 species